UGUAACUGAGUUAUGCUCCCUUCACUGUUGAUAGAAAUAAAGUCAGAUUAAAAACAUUUUUAGGCCAGGCGUGCUGGCUUACACCUGUAAUCCCGGCACUUUGGGAGGCUGAGGGGAAUGGAUCGCUUGAGCCCAGGAUUUCAAAAUCAGCCUAGGCAACAAGGUGAGACCCAUCUCUAGAAAAAAUACAAAAAAAAUUAGCUGGGUGUGGUGGUGCACACCUGUGGUCCCAGCUAUUCAGCAGGCUGAGGUGGGAGGAUCGCUUGAGCCCACAAAGUCGAGGCUGUAGUGGCCGAGAUCACGCCUCUGCACUCCAGUCUAAGUGACAGAGUGGGACCCUGUCUCAAAAAAAAAAAAAAAAAAAAAAAAAAUUAGAUCAGUCUCUGUGCUCUGAUGUGAUCAAAGGUCUUAGCUGAUUUUUUAAACCUAAACUUAUAGGAGAA
rnacentral:lncRNA from 10 species